AACAAGAAGAAGAAGCCAUCUUGUUUUGACAUGUGUAUGGGAUGUGACAAUGUGGUCUACAAACAUCUCUCUCCAUCGCUGUUGGGCCUUCAAGAAGCUGCGUUGCAGACUGUCCAGGUGUACCCCGCCUACCGCCCGAAUGCAGCUGAGAUAGGCUUCAGCACCCCCCGCGACCCCGAAAAGGACAAGCGGUAGAAAAUGGAUGGAUGGAUGCAUUGAAAAUAAUUAGCACCCCCUCUUCUUCUCACACGAGAUCCACCCAGGAAUGGGGCCACAUGAAAUCCUUCCCUAGUGCGAAGUCCAGCAUGUCAAGGAGGAUCCCCAAAGCCUUCUUCAUGUGUUUCUCUGAGGAAAUCAAAAGGGAAUGCACAUUAAAAUCAAUUUACCGAUUGUUAUAAUUAAAAAUCGUUUUUUUCAGAUUAUUAGUAGUCAAGGG